GAUGAACGCUGGCGGCGUGCCUAAUACAUGCAAGUCGAGCGAACAGAUGAGGAGCUUGCUCCUCUGACGUUAGCGGCGGACGGGUGAGUAACACGUGGAUAACCUACCUAUAAGACUGGGAUAACUUCGGGAAACCGGAGCUAAUACCGGAUAAUAUAUUGAACCGCAUGGUUCAAUAGUGAAAGACGGUUUUGCUGUCACUUAUAGAUGGAUCCGCGCCGCAUUAGCUAGUUGGUAAGGUAACGGCUUACCAAGGCAACGAUGCGUAGCCGACCUGAGAGGGGGAUCGGCCACACUGGAACUGAGACACGGUCCAGACUCAUACGGGAGGCAGCAGUAGGGAAUCUUCCGCAAUGGGCGAAAGCCUGACGGAGCAACGCCGCGUGAGUGAUGAAGGUCUUCGGAUCGUAAAACUCUGUUAUUAGGGAAGAACAAAUGUGUAAGUAACUAUGCACGUCUUGACGGUACCUAAUCAGAAAGCCACGGCUAACUACGUG
rnacentral:rRNA from 1 species